AUGAGAAAGACAGGGUCUGCACAGGCAAGGGCGGUCCACCCCAUGCCUCGGGCACCCGGGCAGCUACUCGCAGCAGGAUGGGCUGCAGGGUGAGGGGUGCUCCCUCAGGACUGAAGUGUCCAAACUGUCGGGAGGGAUCUGAGAUAAACCCCCCUGCCCCCCGAAGGGAGCACAAAGCCUGCCCAUCCUGCAUCUUGUGAAACUUUGGGGAAAUGCUCUGAGAUGUGGUUUCACGUGCCGUGUGAACCAGAAGCCCCCACCACAAGGGUUCUCCCACGAUCAGGCGCCGGCAGCCCCACAUGGAGCACCCCGCUGGCCUUUGCAGUUGGGAAGGAGAUGGCAUGGGAUGUAGUAAAGGGCACGCAAUAAUUCCAACACGGAAGCAGUACGAAGCCCAGGACACCCCAUAGGAGGCAAGAGGAAGAACCUACGUUGGCUUUGAGAAUGUCGGCAUCAGGCUGUCUUCACCAAGAGCAGAGAUACCCCCGUGGGAAGUCAGAGCAGAAUAUUUCUGUCACCUCAGAAACUGCAUAAUGAGAAAUGCUUCAUGGCUUGGAAAGUCUGCGAGGAGGACCCCCCCAAGAGUCCCAAGAGGAGUGGCAACCCCCUUCCUGCUGAUCCCACCUCCUCCCAAGCUGGGAUGAGGGCGAUGCACUCCUUCAACCUCCACCAAAGAGCAGCAUGUGUGUGCAUGCAUUUGCAUGUGUACAUGUGUUUGUGCAUGCACGUGUCUGUUAUAUACAUGUACAUUGUGUGAGCAUAUGUGUGGCUGUACAUGUGCGCACUUGUGUCUUCAUGUGUCUAUGCCUGUGCAUGUGUGCUUGUUGUGCAUAUAUUGUCUUGUGUGUGCAGGGGCAUAUAUGUGUGCAUCUCUGUACACACCUGUUUGUUGCAUGUUAUCUGUGUGAGUGCAUGUAAGCAUGUGUGCAUUUGUGUGUAACAUACAUGUGCAUUUGUGUGUUCAUGCGAUCUGCAUGAGUAUGGACUGCAUGAGGGUCUUUGUAUCUGCAGGUUUGUGCAUUUGUAUGUGCAUGGGCAUGCAUGUAUGUGUGUUUUCUGCAUGUGUGUGCAUGUGUUGCAUGCAUGUGCAUUUGUGUCUGUCUGCAUGGGGUUAUGUCUUUGUGUGUGAAUGCACAUGCAUGUGCACACAUGUGUAGGAGACUAUAAUGUGCCUAACAGAUUUGGAAUGCCUACAUGUCUACCAGGCAAACGCCUUUCUUCCAUCUGUGGGCUUCCCAGGCACACAUCAGGGCAGCCCCCAGAGGUCCCAAAACUCACCAAAGUGGAUUCUCAAUACCGCGGGCUCUGAAGCAAGGGCGCUGCCCGGAGCUGCCCUCCCAUUUUUGCUGCUGGCUUGGCUCAAGAUUUCCUGUCACUUCCCCUGAGAUUGUCUCCUCAGCGCACAG